rnacentral:rRNA from 1 species
AUGCAGAUCUUCAUCAAGACGCCGACGGGGAAGACCACCACCCUGAAGGUCGAGAGCAGCUACACCGUCGACGAUGUCAAGUCCAAGAUCCAAGAUAAGGAAAGUAAUACCGUGCGUCGUCCAUGCCCAACCACCACCCUGGAGGUCGAGAGCAGCCACACCGUCGACGAUGUCAAGUCCAAGAUCCAAGACAAGGAAGGAAUCUCGCCGGACCAGCAGCGUCUCGUCUACGCGGGGAAGCAGCUGCCGGACGGCCGUACCUUGGCCGACCACGGUGUCCACAAGGAGUCCACGAUCCACCUCGUGCUACGCCUCGGCGGAGGCUGGUGCUUCUACAAGAAACACCCUGCCGGGCCACAGCUACCGCCGGCGCCCGCGCCGCAGCAGCACGAGGAGCAAGAGCGGGAGAUCGGCGCUGCUGCGCCUGAGCCCGUCGUCCAGUACACGCCGCCGGAGCCGCUGAUGCCGUCCCCGCCCUCGGUCAACGGCGCCAAUGUCAGUGCCAGCACCAGCAGCGUCUGGGCCACGUCGCAGAGCCUCCUCGGCAGCAUGUUCGCGCCGUCUUCCGUGGCCCAGGCGCCGCAGUACCCGGAGUGCGCACUGGCCGCCAAGCCCCCGUUGCUGUGCCUCGCGACCGACGCCGCGUCCGCCCAGUUCUCGGCCCCCGCGGCUGACAGGCAGCAGCAGCUCCCGCCGCCGUCGCCGUCCCCGUCCGCGCACAUAAUCCGCCAUGGCGCUGCUUCAGAAGGCGGUGCAGAUGGGCGCCACCUCGUCGAGCUCCUCGUUCCUGCGUGGGCUGGGCCUGGACAUCUCGUCGUCGUCGUCGUCGGCGUCGACGUCGUCAGGUGCUAUGCUCGGCUGCCUCUUAGAGCUACAAACUGCCGCAAGAAAAAGUGUGGCCACACCAACCAGUUGAGGCCAAAGAAGAACAAGUACAGGAGGUACUAA